UACAGAGGGGGCAAGCGUUAUUCGGAAUUAUUGGGCGUAAAGGGCGCGUAGGCGGCCUGGCAAGUGGAAGGUGAAAUCCCUCGGCUUAACCGAGGAACUGCCCUCCAAACUGCUUGGCUUGAGUCCGGGAGAGGUGAGUGGAACUGCGAGUGUAGAGGUGAAAUUCGUAGAUAUUCGCAAGAACACCAGUGGCGAAGGCGGCGCACUGGCCCGGUACUGACGCUGAGGUGCGAAAGCGUGGGGAGCGAACAGG
rnacentral:rRNA from 1 species